AUCUCUCAUGUUCUGCUGCUCCGAAGAAAGGCUUAUUACGGAAGACAAAAAUUCAUUCUCCCCUUACCUCACAUAUUAUUGAUGAUAUACAGAGUUUGAUUUUCCAGUGAAAGCUACUGAAUUAUCAGGUUUUUGGUAUCUUCAGUGGAGGCUUGCAAGACUGUUUGGUGGAAAAUAUAUUUCUAAGGUCUUGGCUAGUCACCAAGGCAGAAAGGAAGUAAUUAAUGGAAUCUAAUCUGCU
rnacentral:lncRNA from 1 species